GAUGAACGCUGGCGGCGUGCCUAAUACAUGCAAGUCGAGCGAACAGACGAGGAGCUUGCUCCUCUGACGUUAGCGGCGGACGGGUGAGUAACACGUGGAUAACCUACCUAUAAGACUGGGAUAACUUCGGGAAACCGGAGCUAAUACCGGAUAACAUGUUGAACCGCAUGGUUCAACAGUGAAAGACGGUCUUGCUGUCACUUAUAGAUGGAUCCGCGCCGCAUUAGCUAGUUGGUAAGGUAACGGCUUACCAAGGCAACGAUGCGUAGCCGACCUGAGAGAGUGAUCGGCCACACUGGAACUGAGACACGGUCCAGACUCCUACGGGAGGCAGCAGUAGGGAAUCUUCCGCAAUGGGCGAAAGCCUGACGGAGCAACGCCGCGUGAGUGAAGAAGGUCUUCGGAUCGUAAAACUCUGUUAUUAGGGAAGAACAAAUGUGUAAGUAACUAUGCACGUCUUGACGGUACCUAAUCAGAAAGCCACGGCUAACUACGUG
rnacentral:rRNA from 1 species